UACAGAGGGUGCAAGCGUUGUUCGGAUUCACUGGGCGUAAAGGGUGCGUAGGUGGCCAGGUAAGUUUGGUGUGAAAGCUCGGAGCUUAACUCCGAAAAGUCAUUGAAUACUAUCUGGCUGGAGGGUCGGAGGGGAGACUGGAAUUCUCGGUGUAGCAGUGAAAUGCGUAGAUAUCGAGAGGAACACCAGUGGCGAAGGCGAGUCUCUGGACGACUCCUGACACUGAGGCACGAAAGCUAGGGGAGCAAACAGG
rnacentral:rRNA from 1 species